rnacentral:rRNA from 1 species
UACAGAGGGUGCGAGCGUUAAUCGGAAUUACUGGGCGUAAAGGGCUCGUAGGUGGCCAACUAAGUCGGACGUGAAAUCCCUCGGCUUAACCGGGGAACUGCGUCCGAUACUGGUUGGCUUGAGUUUGGGAGAGGGAUGCGGAAUUCCAGGUGUAGCGGUGAAAUGCGUAGAUAUCUGGAGGAACACCGGUGGCGAAGGCGGCCUGCUGGGCAGUAGCUGACACUGAGGCGCGACAGCGUGGGGAGCAAACAGG